UUUUCUUCCUGAAGACAUAAGAAAUGCGUGAAUGACAUUGGGAAGCCAAUGUCAUUUGAGUGAAUCAGAGGGAUGGAACUUUUCUAGAGCACCUAUGAAGCAACUACUCCAUUUUAGAUAAAGCCUGAAUGAGGCUUUCCUAUUAAUUCAUUCUGGAAACCUGAAAUAUUUACAGAUCUGACUACAGUUCUCUUAUGUGUGACUCAUGCUGGCGGUUUUUAGAAAAAUCAACAUUCAACUGAAUUCAUAGUCCUGAUAGAAGAUCACACCUGAGAUACUUUGAUCCUCUUGGUAAAUUUGCAAACUUUCACAAAUAGGAACAUUAUUGCCUUAUUGUUUUGAAUAGAGAAAUCUCAUUUUCUUUGUAGAAUUACAAAGAAUAAUAUUAGGACUUCCGGUUGGCGACCCACGGCAACAUGGUGCUGAGAGAGUGACCGCUACUCUCGGUGCCGCUAGUCACCAUGUUUUGGGGACCCUUUUUGGGCGUGGAGCCUGGAGAGCCUCGCAGACAUUAGAGAGAGCCAGGGGAGUGACAAAGCGACUUGCAAACGCUUAUUGCAAGACCGGGCAGCUCUGUCAAUCCAACACGUGUGAGUCGGCUAUUCAAUGGCGGACCUGAGGCUGCGGUAGCCAGCAACAAGACGGAGGCGAGGAAGAUCAGAGGCGGCAGUGUCGGCAGUGUCGAAAUUGGAUUAAUAUACCUUUCCUUACAUAUGUGAAGUUGUCAUUGGAAGAAGGUGCCGGCGGAGUCGGGCGUGAAGGGCUCAGAGCAGUAAGGAGCGGCAACUGGAAUUGGAGAAUGGAUUGAAAAGCUAUAGAGCUUGACGAGCCGGCAGGGAGAAUUAAGAUCGAUUAAAUUACUUGCAUAAAGGAGAUCUGUUGGCACAGCAAGUAAUAAGUAAUAAGAACUCAGAUUCCCCCCAAAAAAGGACUUCACCUUUGUUGUUUAAAAUCAGAGAACUAUCGUAGUGAAAUUGGACAGAGACUGCUUUGUAUCACAGAACAGGAAGUGCAGCCAUUACAAAGACCUGACAGGGCGAUAAUUGAAGAGGCUGACUCACAGACAAUCUAGCAGUGGAAAAUACCAGAGAGUGCUGAUUUUGACCUACGGACAUAGGAAAAAAAGGGAGUUUUGGAAACUGAGCAAUUAAAAAACUUCACAUAUUUUAAAAAGGGACAAAAGGAAAAAAAAAUCAAGAGAAGAUCGUCUGACUCAUAUAGGAAUUUUGAUAUUUUUGGAUACUUUUUGAUAAUUAUACUAACACUUUUGAUAAUUUAUAUACUUAUAUUAACUGUCAACUUGCAAAAUAAUUAAUUUUUGAUAUCUUUC